AUGCAAUGGCACAAGUGUUCUGCCAGGAGGAAAGGCAGCCCAUAAGGACAAAGAGCUUCAGACCCGUGCUUGAGGACACAGACUUUACUGGAAGGGAGCCCGGAGAACUGCCUAAGGGUGUGUGGAAAACUACAGAGGCCUUGAUGUAGCGCAAUUAAGAGGAGCUUCGUAGUUCCAAGGUGCAGCAAAAUGACAGAACAACUGGGAGAGUAACAGAGAACCAUGGAAAGAGAGAAGAGCCUUCCCAAAAGCUCACUCAAGUCCAGGGGUCAGGAAGGCUGUGCACAUGUACCUGGCUGCUGGGGGCAAAACUGAAAACAUCCCCAGCCACGCAGAGGCCUUUUGAUGCAGGACAGAUGCCUCAUCAGCACAGAGGCCUUCAGCAGGUCCUCUGACCAAACACUGACCGAACAAUGAACUACAGUGAGGUGGGAUAAUGCCUAGGAAGCCAGGAUUGGAAAUAAAACCACACUCGUCUCCAGGAGCUGGGGAGAAGCCCAGCGAGUUUCAAUAGGACAGUUUCUACCUGCUGUGAUGCUAAAUGUGCCAAUUCCUUAUUUGCACGAGGAAGAAACCAGCUGGGAAUUUUGGAUACACAAGCUCCUUUUCCCCAUAUCCUUGAGGCUGCCAUGAGCCUUUUCACCACCUGACUCUCACCCUGAAGAGUGUGUUGCCACCUGCAAUAAAUGAACAACCUCAUUGCCUUU